ACAACGAAGAGUUUGAUCCUGGCUCAGGAUGAACGCUAGCGACAGGCUUAACACAUGCAAGUCGAGGGGCAGCACAGGUAGCAAUACCGGGUGGCGACCGGCGCACGGGUGAGUAACGCGUAUGCAACUUGCCUAUCAGAGGGGGAUAACCCGGCGAAAGUCGGACUAAUACCGCAUGAAGCAGGGAUCCCGCAUGGGAAUAUUUGCUAAAGAUUCAUCGCUGAUAGAUAGGCAUGCGUUCCAUUAGGCAGUUGGCGGGGUAACGGCCCACCAAACCGACGAUGGAUAGGGGUUCUGAGAGGAAGGUCCCCCACAUUGGUACUGAGACACGGACCAAACUCCUACGGGAGGCAGCAGUGAGGAAUAUUGGUCAAUGGCCGAGAGGCUGAACCAGCCAAGUCGCGUGAGGGAUGAAGGUUCUAUGGAUCGUAAACCUCUUUUAUAAGGGAAUAAAGUGCGGGACGUGUCCCGUUUUGUAUGUACCUUAUGAAUAAGGAUCGGCUAACUCCGUGCCAGCAGCCGCGGUAAUACGGAGGAUCCGAGCGUUAUCCGGAUUUAUUGGGUUUAAAGGGUGCGUAGGCGGCCUUUUAAGUCAGCGGUGAAAGUCUGUGGCUCAACCAUAGAAUUGCCGUUGAAACUGGGGGGCUUGAGUAUGUUUGAGGCAGGCGGAAUGCGUGGUGUAGCGGUGAAAUGCAUAGAUAUCACGCAGAACCCCGAUUGCGAAGGCAGCCUGCCAAGCCAUGACUGACGCUGAUGCACGAAAGCGUGGGGAUCAAACAGGAUUAGAUACCCUGGUAGUCCACGCAGUAAACGAUGAUCACUAGCUGUUUGCGAUACACUGUAAGCGGCACAGCGAAAGCGUUAAGUGAUCCACCUGGGGAGUACGCCGGCAACGGUGAAACUCAAAGGAAUUGACGGGGGCCCGCACAAGCGGAGGAACAUGUGGUUUAAUUCGAUGAUACGCGAGGAACCUUACCCGGGUUUGAACGCAUUCGGACCGAGGUGGAAACACCUUUUCUAGCAAUAGCCGUUUGCGAGGUGCUGCAUGGUUGUCGUCAGCUCGUGCCGUGAGGUGUCGGCUUAAGUGCCAUAACGAGCGCAACCCUUGCCACUAGUUACUAACAGGUAAAGCUGAGGACUCUGGUGGGACUGCCAGCGUAAGCUGCGAGGAAGGCGGGGAUGACGUCAAAUCAGCACGGCCCUUACAUCCGGGGCGACACACGUGUUACAAUGGCGUGGACAAAGGGAAGCCACCUGGCGACAGGGAGCGAAUCCCCAAACCACGUCUCAGUUCGGAUCGGAGUCUGCAACCCGACUCCGUGAAGCUGGAUUCGCUAGUAAUCGCGCAUCAGCCAUGGCGCGGUGAAUACGUUCCCGGGCCUUGUACACACCGCCCGUCAAGCCAUGGGAGCCGGGGGUACCUGAAGUCCGUAACCGCGAGGAUCGGCCUAGGGUAAAACUGGUGACUGGGGCUAAGUCGUAACAAGGUAGCCGUACCGGAAGGUGCGGCUGGAACACCUCCUUU
rnacentral:rRNA from 1 species